ensembl:lncRNA
UGACCAUGGACCACCAGUAAGGGGCAGUAAGGGGCGGCCGCGCUCCCAGUCCCAGGAUAAUGCAAACCUACGGCGGGCAGAGAAGGAGAAAAACACUGCAAGGGCGUUGUGUGUACCAAUGGGCAGCAACCAAAAUUAUCUGAAAUGUUCCGAAAGCCUUAGCGACCUAACAGUAGAUAAUAUCAAUUACGUUUCGACAUAGGAUUUGUAAUCGGAGUGCUCUAGCACGGUGGGUCUCGUCUGCACAAGGUUGUCGUCUGUUUGUCUGGCUGCACCGCCCGUCCCGCCGCUGUGUGUGCUCCUGAAGUUUUCUCCCUCAUUCUCCGCCACAAUCCAGUGAGAUAAUGGAGCUGUUGGUUCUUUUUGCUGCCUGCAUUGUGAUAGGACUCUCAGGCGGAGAAAAUGUGAAGGUGUUAUAUGGGGAAAGCCAUCGAUUUUUUCUAAAAUCCCGUGCGGAGUACCUGUACUUUGAAUCUAAUGAUCAAUCUAGCAAAGUACCCCUGUGGACACGCAGCAAGCCUUCUGAUACCAAACGGGGUCAGUAUGACGGAUACGGGUUCUUCACGAUAGAAAAACUCACCCAAGCGGAUAAUGGAAAAUACACUAUACAAUCAAGAUUUAACACCACUUUGGAAACCAACAGAGUCGAUGUGUCACAUCAUGAAAACCUUUUCUCCAAAAAUGAGGGUGAACAGCUACAUUUUGAAUUUCCUAUGAAGCUAAAGUCGUACACUGUUUCCUACACUAACGCUGAUGAUGGAGAUGGAUGGGUCAUUUCCAACGAAGAAUAUAAAACCACACGCCACUUUGACAGGAGGAUGCAAUUACGUAGUACACAACAGUACACUUAUCUCGUAAUCGAUGACCUCAAAGCGUGGGAUUCUGGUGUUUUUUACAUUCAAGAUGACCAGGCUAAUCUGGCCGUGAAAGUGACCCUCGAGGUGGCAGCACCCGCCUCAACGUGGAUGAACGUCGGCCUUGCGUCUGGCGUCGUUUUCAUAAUGGUGUCUUGCUGCUUCUGUCUGAAGAGGUGCUGCUGUAAGAAAAGCUCCAAGAGCAGUGAAGAGGUCACCGAGGCCGCCGACGACCCUCCCCAACUCCAGGAGUACAGUGUCAUGCCCCCUCCACCGAGGUACCACAUGGAGCCCAUGCCGCCGUCCGUAAGCGGUGGUCCUGUGUAUUCAUACCGUCCGGUCGCCCCGGCGGCGAGCGCAGUGGAGGUUAGUGCGUUUCAAGCGGAUCCACGGACAGCCAACGCCUCCUGUAGCCCUACAAGUCAGACGGUGAUCUCGGUUCCCUCGCCCCCCGUGCCCUUCACUGCCCCUUCGGCCGAGGCGCCAGCUACAGGAAGCCAGGCUGGUACUCAGGAUAGCUCCUUCGGCAGCAACUUCCUGUCCUCCGAGACCGAUCCAUGCUUUGAGAUGAAGGGCAUGAAUCUGGCGCCGCCCCUCUACUCCGAAUGCGUCACUGCGAACGUCUACACGUCGGACAAACUCAACUUCGGCUUCCUCUAAGGACUCCGUCGGGUCAGAUUCUCAAAGUUCAGGGAUUGCAUGAUUUACAAUAUAUUUAGCUAGUUUUUUUAAAGAGAUAGUGCCGUAUAUACUAACAGAGAAUAAACUAUUAGUGAGGUUAUCAAGCUAAUACGUAAACUUGACUUUUAUGUUUGAAACUAGCAUUUGACACCUGUUACUGUCUGAAACUCAGUGCGUUUACAUGGGACAGCUAAAUCGGAUUAUGCCUUAUACCGAUUUUGCUACUCGAACGGACCGUGUCAAUUAUCCGAACGUACAUGGCCUUUAGAGAAUCAAAUAAUGGUUGGAGCAUGGCUGAAUCCGUACCCUAGCUGGCGCUGUAGCCCUUUCAACGAGCGGUUAUAGAGCCACUUCCGGUUGACCUCUACGUCCAAGCAACAACAAACUCAGCUGUCCCGCAUACGGCAACAAUCCCUUUCUCCUCCAUGUAGCGUUUCAAUGUGGACUCAAAGCCAAAGUUCCUUUCCGCUAAUUCCUUCUCCGAGAUAACCCCCACUACGAGUCUUUGUUGUGGAAGUAGCAGAGAGUCGGAGAACAAGACGCAGUCUGUAAGAUUCAUAAUAUCAGAGAAUAUCCCCGUCAGUUCGGUCGCUGAUGAUGAUACACUUCUUAUAGGGUUGGUAAUGGUAUGACACCGGCUUCCUCCUGUUCUAGAUUACCAUGCGUCACCUUUAUAAAUAAAUCGCCAUUUCUCGUUUUCUGACGGCGACAACCAUAAUCAUCUAAAGAAAUAAUUAAAUAUUUAUAAAGAAAUAAGAAUGUUUAUAACUCAAUGGCGCCUACAACAUGACUACCGUCUCCUCUACUUCUGGCUCACGUCCCCCGGACGCAAGAUCUCGAGCGUGCGCAGAACGCGAAUCCGAUGUGCGAUACGAUGCGGGUUUACAUGCAGGUAGAAACCGAACUAUGAACGAGUUAUCUAGGUGUUCUUAUCCGAUUUCGCUUGUCCGUUCAUGUACCGAUUUCUGUCCGAGGUAGAUCAGGUAAAGGUGUUAACAUGCAUUUUAAAAGUCCUGUUGAGGUCUUAUUCUUUUAUUUACCCGAUAAUGACUCUGCAUGUAAACGCACUGACUAUGUGACGUGCAAAUCUUUACAUUUCUUGCGAUGGACAAGUGUAUUGAUUGAUAUACUAUGUAGCGACCCUAUAUCUAUAUCCUUCCAAACUCAAGCCUGUUACAUCCUUAACUCAACGCCACGCGAUUCUCACUCUGCCUUGUUGUUUUUCCUCUACCUCUUCUUUACUUUGUUUUAUAACUGGCGAGGGGCCUUGGCAAUCGGAAGACAAUAGGAAAACAAUCUGUUUAAGGGCUUUUUUGGACCUGAACACAGCUGUUGUAUUAGAAAAAUACGAUCUGAAAUCGUAUGUUCUUUUUUCGUUUCUAGAUCUUUCCCGGGUAAUUAACCUUUAUCAGGUCAGUUUCUUUGUGUUGAAAAUGCCAUAUAAAAUGCAGGGAUUUGGUUCAAUUGUAUGUAAACCGUACAAUAAAAUAGAUUCACUGCCAUUCACAGGUGGCCUUUGACUUGUUUAAGCUACAUUUAACCUCUCUACCUUGUUUGGUAUCUUGUGGUGCCUUAUUUAAACUGGAGUCCAAAGCCUUAUGUUAUCAAACAAGUGUAAGUGUAAAGUGUUUCAAUUCAUUCUCUGUAUUUUCUCUUUUUCUGAUGUGAUAUUUGUAACCGCUUUUGCCUUGUCGUAUAGCCUCAAAUGUGUUGUCUGUGCUUACAGUAUAUGUGGCUGUGAGGACUAGUCAUACUAGUCAUACUAUGUUGUAUGUUUAUAUAAAUAAAAAACAUGCCUUUCAGUC